rnacentral:rRNA from 1 species
GACGAACGCUGGCGGCGUGCUUAACACAUGCAAGUCGAACGGAAAGGCCAUGCUUUUGUGGGGUGCUCGAGUGGCGAACGGGUGAGUAACACGUGAGUAACCUGCCCUUGACUUUGGGAUAACUUCAGGAAACUGGGGCUAAUACCGGAUAGGAGCUCCUGCUGCAUGGUGGGGGUUGGAAAGUUUCGGCGGUUGGGGAUGGACUCGCGGCUUAUCGGCUUGUUGGUGAGGUAGUGGCUUACCAAGGCUUUGACGGGUAGCCGGCCUGGGAGGGUGACCGGCCACAUUGGUACUGAGGUACGGCCCAGACUCCUACGUGAGGCAGCAGUGGGGAAUAUUGCACAAUGGGCGGAAGCCUGUUGCAGCAACGCCGCGUGCGGGAUGACGGCCUUCGGGUUGUAAACCGCUUUCGCCUGUGACGAAGCGUGAGUGACGGUAAUGGGUAAAGAAGCACCGGCUAACUACGUG